UACGUAGGUGGCAAGCGUUAUCCGGAUUUAUUGGGCGUAAAGAGAGCGCAGGCGGUCUUUUAAGUCUGAUGUGAAAGCCUUCGGCUUAACCGGAGUAGUGCAUUGGAAACUGGGAGACUUGAGUGCAGAAGAGGAGAGUGGAACUCCAUGUGUAGCGGUGAAAUGCGUAGAUAUAUGGAAGAACACCAGUGGCGAAAGCGGCUCUCUGGUCUGUAACUGACGCUGAGGUUCGAAAGCGUGGGUAGCAAAUAGG
rnacentral:rRNA from 1 species